GUGGGGAAUAUUGGACAAUGGGGGGAACCCUGAUCCAGCCAUGCCGCGUGUGUGAAGAAGGCCUUUUGGUUGUAAAGCACUUUAAGCGAGGAGGAGGCUACCGAGAUUAAUACUCUUGGAUAGUGGACGUUACUCGCAGAAUAAGCACCGGCUAACUCUGUGCCAGCAGCCGCGGUAAUAUAGAGGGUGCAAGCGUUAAUCGGAUUUACUGGGCGUAAAGCGCGCGUAGGUGGCCAAUUAAGUCAAAUGUGAAAUCCCCGAGCUUAACUUGGGAAUUGCAUUCGAUACUGGUUGGCUAGAGUAUGGGAGAGGAUGGUAGAAUUCCAGGUGUAGCGGUGAAAUGCGUAGAGAUCUGGAGGAAUACCGAUGGCGAAGGCAGCCAUCUGGCCUAAUACUGACACUGAGGUGCGAAAGCAUGGGGAGCAAACAGGAUUAGAAACCCUAGUAGUCC
rnacentral:rRNA from 1 species